rnacentral:piRNA from 1 species
UGGCCAAAUGCUCAGGAUACAGAGGGCUUU